GCCCGCAUAGCUCAGCUGGUGGCAGCGCUCGCCUUGUAAGCGAGAGGUCGUCCGUCGAUCCGGACUGCGGGCU
rnacentral:tRNA from 1 species